rnacentral:rRNA from 1 species
GACGAACGCUGGCGGCGUGCUUAACACAUGCAAGUCGAACGGAAAGGCCCUGCUUUUGUGGGGUGCUCGAGUGGCGAACGGGUGAGUAACACGUGAGUCACCUGCCCUUGACUUUGGGAUAACUUCAGGAAACUGGGGCUAAUACCGGAUAGGAGCUCCUGCUGCAUGGUGGGGGUUGGAAAGUUCCGUCGGUUGGGGAUGGACUUGCGGCUUAUCAGCUUGUUGGUGGGGUAGUGGCUUACCAAGGCUUUGACGGGUAGCCGGCCUGGGAGGGUGACCGGCCACAUUGGGACUGGGGUGCGGCCCGGGCUCCUACGGGGGGCAGCGGUGGAGACUAUUGCACGAUGGGCGGAGGCCGGAUACAGCAACGCCGGGUGCGGGAUGACGGCCUUCGGGUUGUAAGCCGCUUUCGCCUGUGACGAAGCGUGAGGGACGGUAAUGGGUAAAGAAGCACCGGCUACCUACGU